GGAGGGCGGGUGCUAUACAUGCAAGUCGAGCGGAUUGAUGGGAGCUUGCUCCCUGAUAUCAGCGGCGGACGGGUGAGUAACACGUGGGUAACCUGCCUGUAAGACUGGGAUAACUCCGGGAAACCGGGGCUAAUACCGGAUAACUCAUUUCCUCGCAUGAGGAAAUGUUGAAAGGUGGCUUUUACCUACCACUUACAAAUGGACCCGCGGCGCAUUACCUAGUUGGGGAGGUAACGGCUCACCAAGGCAACAAUGCGUACCCAACCUGAAAGGGGGAUCGGCCACCCUGGGACUGAAACACGGCCCAAACUCCUACGGGAGGCAGCAGUAGGGAAUCUUCCGCAAGGGACAAAAGUCUGACGAACCAACGCCGCGGGAGUGAUGAAGGUUUUCGAAUCGUAAAGCUCUGUUGUUAGGGAAAAACAAGUGCCGUUCGAAUAGGGCGGCACCUUGACGGUACCUAACCAAAAAGCCACGGCUAACUACGUGCCACCAGCCGCGGUAAUACGUAGGUGGCAAGCGUUGUCCGGAAUUAUUGGGCGUAAAGCGCGCGCAGGUGGUUCCUUAAGUCUGAUGUGAAAGCCCACGGUUCAACCGUGAAGGGUCAUUGAAAACUGGGGAACUUGAUUGCAGAAAAGGAAAGUGAAAUUCCAAGUGUAGCGUUGAAAUGCGUAAAUAUUUGGAGGAACACCAGUGGCGAAGGCGACUUUCUGGUCUGUAAUGAACACUGAGGCGCGAAAGCGUGGGGGAGCAAACAGGAUUAGAUACCCUGGUAGUCCACGCCGUAAACGAUGAGUGCUAAUUGUAAGGGGGUUUCCGCCCCCUAUUCUGCAGCUAACGCCUUAAGCAUCCAGCCUGCGGAUACGGUCGGCAGACUGAUCUCAAUGGAAUUGACGGAGCCCGCUCAGCGGUGUACCAGGGUUUUAUUCGAAACACCUGAACACCAUACUAUGCCUGGUAU
rnacentral:rRNA from 1 species